UUUUUUGAAAUAGUUCAGCUCUUGUUGGUCGAUGGCAGUUUGAGAUGGGAGGACGACCUCUGUGAGCCUGUAGGUGCGACCCAGGAACCAUGGAAAGGUCGGCGGCUUCUGACAUGGCCUCUGAAAAGGCAAAUCCUUCCUACCACAGUACAGGGGCUGUUCAAAUGAGGAUCAAAAGUGCUAACAGUCACCAUGACAGACUGAGCCAAAGCAAAUCUAUGAUUCUGGCUGACAACGUGAAGGUUGCUGAACCUGUAAAUCGUCACAGAAGAAAUCAUUCCCAACAUAACUUAACACUUGCAGACAUCAU